UUACGUCCAUAUCGCGUUGAAACACCGGUUCAUAUUCGAUCAUCGAAGUUAAGCAACGUCAGACCUUGUCAGUACCUAGAUGGGUGACCGCUUAAGAAUAUCAGGUGCUGUAA